GGGUGAGUAACGCGUAUCCAACCUGCCCGCCACUUGGGGAUAACCUUGCGAAAGUAAGACUAAUACCCAAUGAUAUCUCUAGAAGGCAUCUGAAAGAGAUUAAAGAUUUAUCGGUGAUGGAUGGGGAUGCGUCUGAUUAGCUUGUUGGCGGGGUAACGGCCCACCAAGGCAACGAUCAGUAGGGGUUCUGAGAGGAAGGUCCCCCACAUUGGAACUGAGACACGGUCCAAACUCCUACGGGAGGCAGCAGUGAGGAAUAUUGGUCAAUGGACGAGAGUCUGAACCAGCCAAGUAGCGUGCAGGAUGACGGCCCUAUGGGUUGUAAACUGCUUUUAUAAGGGAAUAAAGUGAGUCUCGUGAGACUUUUUGCAUGUACCUUAUGAAUAAGGACCGGCUAAUUCCGUGCCAGCAGCCGCGGUAAUACGGAAGGUCCGGGCGUUAUCCGGAUUUAUUGGGUUUAAAGGGAGCGUAGGCCGGAGAUUAAGCGUGUUGUGAAAUGUAGAUGCUCAACAUCUGAACUGCAGCGCGAACUGGUUUCCUUGAGUACGCACAAAGUGGGCGGAAUUCGUGGUGUAGCGGUGAAAUGCUUAGAUAUCACGAAGAACUCCGAUUGCGAAGGCAGCUCACUGGAGCGCAACUGACGCUGAAGCUCGAAAGUGCGGGUAUCGAACAGGAUUAGAUACCCUGGUAGUCCGCACGGUAAACGAUGGAUGCCCGCUGUUGGUCUGAAUAGGUCAGCGGCCAAG
rnacentral:rRNA from 1 species